GCCUUCUUAGCUCAGCGGUAGUAGCGUCUGCCUCGUAAGCAGAAGGUCACCUGUUCGAACCAGGUAGGAGGCA